rnacentral:rRNA from 1 species
GACGAACGCUGGCGGCGUGCUUAACACAUGCAAGUCGAACGGAAAGGCCCUGCUUUUGUGGUGUGCUCGAGUGGCGAACGGGUGAGUAACACGUGAGUAACCUGCCCUUGACUUUGGGAUAACUUCAGGAAACUGGGUCUAAUACCGGAUAGGAGCUCCUGCUGCAUGGUGGGGGUUGGAAAGUUUCGGCGGUUGGGGAUGGACUCGCGGCUUAUCAGCUUGUUGGUGGGGUAGUGGCUUACCAAGGCUUUGACGGGUAGCCGGCCUGAGAGGGUGACCGGCCACAUUGGGACGGAGAUACGGCCCAGACUCCUACGGGAGGCAGCAGUGGGGAAUAUUGCACAAUGGGCGGAAGCCUGAUGCAGCAACGCCGCGUGCGGGAUGACGGCCUUCGGGUUGUAAACCGCUUUCGCCUGUGACGAAGCGUGAGUGACGGUAAUGGGUAAAGAAGCACCGGCUAACUACGUG